rnacentral:rRNA from 1 species
UACGGGGGGGGCAAGCGUUGUUCGGAAUUACUGGGCGUAAAGGGCUCGUAGGCGGCCAACUAAGUCGGAUGUGAAAUCCCCAGGCUUAACCUGGGAACUGCAUCCGAUACUGGAUGGCUUGAAUCCGGGAGAGGGAUGCAGAAUUCCAGGUGUAGCGGUGAAAUGCGUAGAUAUCAGGAAGAACACCAAUGGCGAAAGCAGCUUUCUGGGACGGUACUGACGCUGAGACGCGAAAGCGUGGGGAGCGAACAGG